rnacentral:rRNA from 1 species
AUUGAACGCUGGCGGCGGGCCUAACACAUGCAAGUCGAACGGUAACAGGAAGAAGCUUGCUUCUUUGCUGACGAGUGGCGGACGGGUGAGUAAUGUCUGGGAAACUGCCUGAUGGAGGGGGAUAACUACUGGAAACGGUAGCUAAUACCGCAUAACGUCGCAAGACCAAAAAGGGGGACCUUCGGGCCUCUUGCCAUCGGAUGUGCCCAGAUGGGAUUAGCUAGUAGGUGGGGUAACGGCUCACCUAGGCGACGAUCCCUAGCUGGUCUGAGAGGAUGACCAGCCACACUGGAACUGAGACACGGCCCAGACUCCUACGGGAGGCAGCAGUGGGGAAUAUUGCACAAUGGGCGCAAGCCUGAUGCAGCCAUGCCGCGUGUAUGAAGAAGGCCUUCGGGUUGUAAAGUACUUUCAGCGGGGAGGAAGGGAGUAAAGUUAAUACCUUUGCUCAUUGACGUUACCCGCAGAAGAAGCACCGGCUAACUCCGUG